rnacentral:rRNA from 1 species
CCUACGGGAGGCAGCAGUGGGGCAUAUUGGGCAAUGGGCGCAAGCCUGACCCAGCAACGCCGCGUGAAGGAAGAAGGCUUUCGGGUUGUAAACUUCUUUUGUCAGGGACGAAGCAAGUGACGGUACCUGACGAAUAAGCCACGGCUAACUACGUGCCAGCAGCCGCGGUAAUACGUAGGUGGCAAGCGUUAUCCGGAUUUAUUGGGUGUAAAGGGCGUGUAGGCGGGAAUGCAAGUCAGAUGUGAAAACUCUGGGCUCAACCCAUAGCCUGCAUUUGAAACUGUAUUUCUUGAGUGCUGGAGAGGCAAUCGGAAUUCGGUGUGUAGCGGUGAAAUGCGUAGAUAGACGGAGGAACACCAGUGGCGAAGGCGGAUUGCUGGACAGUAACUGACGCUGAGGCGCGAAAGCGUGGGGAGCAAACAGGAUUAGAUACCCGAGUAGUC